UUCAAAAGCAAAGCUUCCACAACACGGAGUUUCUACUGAGAAAAAAAUCAGGAUAUAAAACCCUCCAUAUGCUGAUAUCAAAUCUGCAGUCUCUCGCUCUGAUCCGCUGACGGGACACGCCCACAGAUGACCACAUCACAUGACACUUCUGGAAGCAAGCAUUUGGACUCACAGCGCACGCAGUCAAACUUUCCUGCCAGCCUAGAUCGGAGUGGCCACUCCACAGUCGUCAGCGAUGCCCAGACGACCACAAGCCGCCCUGUCGAAGCUACAUGGGCCUCUCGGUCUGUCUUCCGUGAUUUGUGCGAACGGCUCCCAUCAAGGCGGCACAAACUCUUACAACUGCUCCCCGUUCUCGGGUCAGUCCAGCGCCGUGAGCCGCCGCCACGGGCCCUCCUGGCCAAUCACCCAGAGCCUUUCUCCAGAUGCCAGCCCGCCAAACUCGCCACUCAUUUGGGGUCUUUAGUCCAGCGGCUGUCCUCUGCUUUCUAGCCUUUUGGGGCGGAGUACUCUGGGUUUGGGCCGAAUCCGAGCUCAGCACGCCAAAUACGCAUUAAACUUUACUCCCUGUAAUUGUGUGUAAGUGUGCACUCGUGAAAUGUGUAUUCAUAUUCAUACAUUCAGGUGUUCAUACAUCAUGUUUUUUAUUAUUAUUUAUCUAUUGCUACUUUUAAUUUAUGGUGAUUCAAAAAAACAUAAUUGUGUUGCAGUAAUUAUUUAUUGUAACACAACUGUAAUGUGUAGCUGCUCUGUUCUGGUUUAGUUCUGUUUCCUGUACCUGUUUCCUUUGGUCUCUUUUUCCCGCCACUAGUUUGUUUCCAUGGUAACUGAUGAUUUACACACCUGUUUCUGGCUCGGUUAAUCAGUUUCUCGUGUUUGUAAGCCUCAGUUUCCGUAUCGUCAGUGUGUUGUUGUGUCAUUCUCCUGCGAUUUCCCUUUUGUGUUUUUGUAUUUAUUAAAGACUGUGUUUUUGUUCAAGCUCCUUCAUCGUACACUUAAUACUACAGUUACAGCCGUUUGCGUGAAAAGAAUUAAAAUAUGCUUUAUUACAGUAAUGACUCUCAAAAGUAAAGGUACCUGAGAGUAAAUGAGAAUUGUAGUGAAUAUGUGCUGAAUUGUCAUGAAAGUAACAUCACAAUCCUCCUUUUUUAUGAAAACAUGUUUUCUCAUUAUUAUUUUUAAAUAGGUAAAAUAUGACAAAGACGUGUUUUCAUGAGAUUCAAACUGC